UACGUAGGGUGCGAGCGUUAAUCGGAAUUACUGGGCGUAAAGCGUGCGCAGGCGGUUUUGUAAGCCAGAUGUGAAAUCCCCGGGCUUAACCUGGGAAUGGCAUUUGGGACUGCAAGGCUUGAGUUUGGCAGAGGAGACUGGAAUUCCUGGUGUAGCAGUGAAAUGCGUAGAUAUGCGGAGGAACACCGAUGGCGAAGGCAAUCCCCUGGGCCUGCACUGACGCUCAUGCACGAAAGCGUGGGGAGCAAACAGG
rnacentral:rRNA from 1 species